rnacentral:rRNA from 1 species
CUGAGUGGCUAAGCGAAAGUGAUAAGUAUCCCACCUGGGGAGUACGAACGCAAGUUUGAAACUCAAAGGAAUUGACGGGGGCCCGCACAACGGUGGAGCAUGUGGUUUAAUUCGAUGAUACGCGAGGAACCUUACCAGGGCUUAAAUGUAGUAUGACAGGUUUGGAAACAGACUUUUCUUCGGACAUAUUACAAGGUGCUGCAUGGUUGUCGUCAGCUCGUGCCGUGAGGUGUCAGGUUAAGUCCUAUAACGAGCGCAACCCCUGUUGUUAGUUGCCAGCGAGUAUGUCGGGAACUCUAACAAGACUGCCGGUGUAAACCGUGAGGAAGGUGGGGAUGACGUCAAAUCAUCACGGCCCUUACGUCCUGGGCUACACACGUGCUACAAUGGCAGGUACAGAGAGCAGCCACUUCGCAAGGAGGAGCGAAUCUAUAAAGCCUGUCUCAGUCGGAUUGGAGUCUGCAACCCGACUCCAUGAAGCUGGAAUCGCUAGUAAU